GUGAGUCAUCGAAUCUUUGAACGCACAUUGCGCUCCCUGGCAUCCCGGGGAGUAUGCCUGUUUGAGGGUCAGUAUAAAUAAAAAAUCGGUUUGGUUGCAAAUUUUGUGACGUUACCGGAGUUUGGGUUAUCUUAACUUCUUUGGUUAAGAGGCUUAAAAUUGACCUUUUUUGCGCAUUUUUAGACGUACAUAAAUUUGUUUUUAUUCGUCUAUUCUUAAUGCCAAAAUCUUAUUAGAUGCGAUCACAUCGUGUGGUUUCGUGUCCAUAAAAUUUUCAUGAUUUGACCUCAAAUCAGGUAG
rnacentral:misc_RNA from 1 species